GAUGAACGCUGGCGGCGCGCCUAACACAUGCAAGUCGAACGAUUAAAGCACCUUCGGGUGUGUAUAAAGUGGCGAACGGCUGAGUAACACGUGGGCAACCUGCCCCUUUCAUUGGGAUAGCCACGGGAAACCGUGGAUAAUACCGAAUACUUCGAGACUUCCGCAUGGAAGACUCGGGAAAGCUCCGGCGGAGAGGGAUGGGCCCGCGGCCUGUUAGCUUGUUGGUGGGGGAACGGCCUACCAAGGCAAUGAUGGGUAGCUGGGUUGAGAGACCGACCCGCCAGAUUGGGACUGAGACACGGCCCAGACUCCUACGGGAGGCAGCAGUGGGGAAUCUUGCACAAUGGGCGAAAGCCUGAUGCAGCGACGCCGCGUGCGGGAUGAAGGCCUUCGGGUUGUAAACCGCUUUCAGCAGGGACGAGGCGAAAGUGACGGUACCUGCAGAAGAAGCCCCGGCUAACUACGUG
rnacentral:rRNA from 1 species